rnacentral:rRNA from 1 species
GAUGAACGCUGGCGGCGUGCCUAAUACAUGCAAGUCGAGCGAACAGACGAGGAGCUUGCUCCUCUGACGUUAGCGGCGGACGGGUGAGUAACACGUGGAUAACCUACCUAUAAGACUGGGAUAACUUCGGGAAACCGGAGCUAAUACCGGAUAAUAUAUUGAACCGCAUGGUUCAAUAGUGAAAGACGGUUUUGCUGUCACUUAUAGAUGGAUCCGCGCCGCAUUAGCUAGUUGGUAAGGUAACGGCUUACCAAGGCAACGAUGCGUAGCCGACCUGAGAGGAUGAUCGGCCACACUGGAACUGAGACACGGUCCAGACUCCUACGGGAGGCAGCAGUAGGGAAUCUUCCGCAAUGGGCGAAAGCCUGACGGAGCAACGCCGCGUGAGUGAAGAAGGUCUUCGGAUCGUAAAACUCUGUUCUUAGGGAAGAACAGAUGUGUAAGUAAAUAUACACGUCUUGACGGUACCUAAUCAAGAAGCCCCGGCUAACUACGUG